GAGUACCGUGCAAAAUCAGCGGAGGGAAAAGUCCGUCAUCCCUUCUUCAGGGGGCUUCGGGAGGAUCUGUAAUGGAUGCCUUUGACCGCUUCUGGGAGUGGGCGGAAAAGCCGCUCGAUAGUCCGCUGACGAUCCCUGCGGAGCUCCAUCGAGCGGUUAUGGAGCUGUCUCCGGAGGACAGGCGGGACCGCGCAAAGGUCAAUGAGGCC
rnacentral:misc_RNA from 1 species